CCAAGGAGUCUAACAUGUGCGCGAGUCAUUGGGAAAUUGAAACCUAAAGGCGCAAUGAAAGUGAAUGUCGGCCUUGAGUCGAGAGAGGGAGGAUGAGCCGCGUCACGAUGCGGCUCCGCACUCCCGGGGCGUCUCGUUCUCAUUGCGAGAAGAGGCGCACCCAGAGCGUACACGUUGGGACCCGAAAGAUGGUGAACUAUGCCUGGUCAGGACGAAGUCAGGGGAAACCCUGAUGGAGGUCCGUAGCGAUUCUGACGUGCAAAUCGAUCGUCGGAACUGGGUAUAGGGGCGAAAGACUAAUCGAACCAUCUAGUAGCUGGUUCCCUCCGAAGUUUCCCUCAGGAUAGCUGGCACUCGAGUAAGAAACUUUAAAGAGUCUCAUUCGGUAAAGCGAAUGAUUAGAGGCCUUGGGGCCGAAACGACCUCAACCUAUUCUCAAACUUUAAAUGGGUGAGAUCUCUGGCUUGCUUGAACUAUGAAGCCACGAGAUUUCGGAUCAGAGUGCCAAGUGGGCCAUUUUU
rnacentral:rRNA from 1 species